GAUGAACGCUGGCGGCGUGCCUAAUACAUGCAAGUCGAGCGAACAGACGAGGAGCUUGCUCCUCUGACGUUAGCGGCGGACGGGUGAGUAACACGUGGAUAACCUACCUAUAAGACUGGGAUAACUUCGGGAAACCGGAGCUAAUACCGGAUAAUAUUUUGAACCGCAUGGUUCUAUAGUGAAAGACGGUUUUGCUGUCACUUAUAGAUGGAUCCGCGCCGCAUUAGCUAGUUGGUAAGGUAACGGCUUACCAAGGCGACGAUGCGUAGCCGACCUGAGAGGGUGAUCGGCCACACUGGAACUGAGACACGGUCCAGACUCCUACGGGAGGCAGCAGUAGGGAAUCUUCCGCAAUGGGCGAAAGCCUGACGGAGCAACGCCGCGUGAGUGAUGAAGGUCUUCGGAUCGUAAAACUCUGUUAUUAGGGAAGAACAAAUGUGUAAGUAACUAUGCACGUCUUGACGGUACCUAAUCAGAAAGCCACGGCUAACUACGUG
rnacentral:rRNA from 1 species